CAGAGUCGUCUCUGCUUCUAUCCCUGCAUCGCCUCUGCCAUGCUUCCUUAACAGAGAGUUUUCUUGGUACAUCUGAUUCUGUCUCUCCCCCUUCCCACCCUCUGUCUCUCUGUCUCUCUCUCGGUCUUUGUCUCUGUGUUAGGGUUUAUGCUUUUGUGGGUUUUGUUGAGAUUUUCUAGCCGUCUUUUGUUUGAGUAAUUAGCAGAGAGAGAGAGAGAGAGAGAGAGGGAGGAGUCGUUCUUUGGUUCCGUUCAUGCUCUAGGUUGUUUCAAAUGCCCCGAAAAAUCAGUGAAGGAGUUGGAGGAGAAGAGGAAGAACGAUCAGUCUCGAAGCCCGCUUAAUUUGAGCUAUAGCCGGCACGCCUAAUUCUCAUUUAAGGUAUGUUGUUUGUCCAAUGGUUUUUUUUCAGUACUGAAAGUAUAAUUAAGUUUUAACAUUAGGUGUUGCAAGUCUUAAUCCUGCAGCCUGUCAUGCAAAUGUCCCUCCCAUUUUGCCAAUCUUCCCCGGUGCGUGAGGGACCAAUAAAGCUUGCUUUUUUAGAUGCUUAUAUAUAUAUAUAUAUAUUUCAUUUUUGUCUUAUUAAUUCAUUGUGCCACGAUGUUGAUUGAAAUUUUGUGUUAGCAUUGUGGUGAAAUAGAUUAAUAUUAAUAUUGCCCUCUUCUUUUUUCUUUUUCUUUUUUUAUGGAAAUUCCUACUUCCCUCUAUGUGGUUUAUUGGACCCUGAGUCAGGGACGCUAGAGAAAUGAACUUUGUCUAUGCAGAGAUGCAGCUACUUGAACUUGAAUUAACAGAGGUACAAUUAGACAAUGAUACUGGUUCUUCCUUCAUUUUUUCUUCAUCGUCACCGUCUUUAUUUCUUAAAGGAUCCAAGUCACUGAACCCAAGUCCUGCUUAUGCUUGACUCACAAAAUCCUCAAGAAGAUGGGUACCACGAGUGCUGCUCUGGACCCUCACUUGCAGCUCAACAGCUGCUGCUUCACCCGCCUGGACUCGGUUAAGACCCAAGUAAGCUCCUUCCAAAUCGAUUGCUCCAGGAGGAGAAUAAUGGAACUCAGAUUGAUGGGUUCAAAGAAAUUGGGCAGCUUUGCCUGCUCCGCGGUCGAGGAAGACGAGCAACAGGAAUAGUGUUCCGGUGAUGGCGGUCUUGGUUCUGCCGUGGAAGAUUGGCCCGAUAAGCUGAAAACUUUUUUCUGGGUUGUUGCUUCAAUUUUGAAAUCAUGCCCUUCCUGCAUCUUUGAGCACCUCAGGAUAAUCUUCAAUUUCAUCUGCUUAAAUGGUUAGAUUAGGUGUUACUGUUCUUGAAUUAGUAUGUAUGUAUCAGAAGGAUGUUAUUCUUUUAAACAAGUUCAAUUCCUUUGCCUUCUUUGAUAGUAUUGGAUGAGGACUAUUUCUUCGUUUUCACGCUAUAUCAUUGUUUAAUUAGGCUUGUAUAUUCUUCUGCUGUAUUGAUCCAGUAUCGUGUUCCGGGUUGGUGAACGAAAUUAUGAAGGGUACAAAAUUAACAGAGGUACAAGUUGCAGACAAGCUUCUUGAAUUUCGUUCAAAGAAACAAGCUUUGAUUCUAUAAGUGGUUCUGGUGCAAAUGGAGCAAUCAUACACUACAAACCUGAACCAGGUAGUUGCAGUGCUGUGGAUGCAGAGAAGCUCUUUCUACUGGACGUUUGAGCUCAAUACAUCAAUGGUUCAGUCGGUAUAACUAGAACAGUACAUUUUCGCAAACCAACUCCUGGACAAAAAGAUUGCUUCGCCUGAGUCCUACAGGUGCUGAGUUCCUUUCUUGAACUAUCUCGAUGAUGGAUGACAAGAAAAAAUUGAUAAAUAGCUGUAACAGAGAUAUUCCAUUCAAAUUUAUUGUAUUGAAUGACGUGCAUUUACAGAUCUAUUAAUAGAUUAUAGUUACAGGUCAUUGAAUGUUGUCCUACAGGGUCCACAAAUCAAUUAGCAAAGAAGAAAACAUCCUAGGGAGGAAUAAGGAAAUGGCCCGCAUAAAUGAAAGAAGAGGGCACAUGGGCCUUAGAGAAAGUACAACCUCAAACCUAUUCGAUCUAACAGAGCUUUUCUAGGUCUAUGUUCGUAAACUCUCUAUUCACCUCUCCCUUAUUCAGAAAUUGAUGAUUGUGGUUGGAGUCUUGAUCAAACAGGAAAAUGGAGGUGUACUGGGAAGACUCAACAGAUUAGGUCGAGCUCCCUCUGAGCUUCGAUGGCUUCCUGUUUCGGAUACAUGUAUAUUUCAUUUGUGUUACGGAUGGCCUUGACGAGAGCUGUUGGUGGGUACCGUUAAGUUUCAAGCGGCUUCAGUAAAUUUGAAGCCCAUCGAAGCAAGGAAGAGAGGCUGAGGCAACUGUACUUUCAAAUGCUUCAAUAGGCUUGCGUGCAAGGACUUCAAAUGGAGGAAUUGUUUUUCUUUGGUUUUUAGAGUGAAGAUCACUAUUUUUUUGGUCAAUUUGCUCACUUAAACUUUUAAUUAUAUGGUAUAUUUAUAUGAUUGUCAUAUA